rnacentral:piRNA from 1 species
UAGGGCCUAAUGGGAAUACACUUCCAUAUU